CGCGGUAAGACGUAGGGCGCGAGCGUUGUCCGGAUUUAUUGGGCGUAAAGCGCGCGUAGGCGGCCGUUUAAGUCUCACUGUGAAAGCCUGCGGCUCAACCGCAGGAGGCCAGGGGAUACUGGGCGGCUGGAGAGAGGUAGAGGCGAGCGGAAUUCCGGGUGUAGCGGUGGAAUGCGUAGAGAUCCGGAAGAACACCAGAGGCGAAGGCGGCUCGCUGGACCUGUUCUGACGCUGAGGCGCGAAAGCGUGGGGAGCGAACAGG
rnacentral:rRNA from 1 species